rnacentral:rRNA from 1 species
GUGUAACAACUCACCUGCCGAAUGAACUAGCGCUGAAAAUGGAUGGCGCUCAAGCGGACCACCGAUCCCCGACCAACGGCGUGAGUGCUUUGCGCCGUUGAGUAGGAGGGCGUGGGGCUCGUGAAGCAGCCGCGGGAGUGAUCCCCGGUGAAACGGGCUCUAGUGCAGAUCUUGGUGGGAGUAGCAAAUAUUCAAAUGAGAACUUUGAAGACUGAAGUGGACAAGGGUUCCAUGUGAACAGCAGUUGGACAUGGGUGAGCCGAUCCUAAGGGGUAGGGCAACUCUGCGAACAGCUUCAUUCUGUGAGGCUUCCUACCGAAAGGGAAACGGGUUAACAUUCCCGUGCCAGCGGAAGGCGAAUGGGUGGCAACACGUCCGAGCCCGGCGACGUCGGCGGAGGCCCCGGGAAGAGUUCUCUUUUCUUCUUAACUGGCCGUUACCCUGGAAUCGGAUUGCCCGGAGCGAGGGUUCUGCGUCAGGGAAAGCCUCCUAAGUCUUGGGAGGUCCGGUGCGCUUUCGACGGCCCUUGAAAAGCCGGGGGCGCGUUUGAUGUUCUUUCCUGGUCGUACCCAUAACCGCCUCAGGUGUCCCAGGUCAAGAGCCUCUAGUUGAUAGAACAAUGUAGAUAAGGGAAG